UACAGAGGUCUCAAGCGUUGUUCGGAUUCAUUGGGCGUAAAGGGUGCGUAGGCGGCGCGGUAAGUCGGGUGUGAAAUCUUGGAGCUUAACUCCGAACUGCAUUCGAUACUGCCGUGCUUGAGGACUGGAGAGGAGACUGGAAUUUACGGUGUAAGCGGUGAAAUGCGUAGAGUAUCGUAAGGAAGACCAGUGACGAGCGGGUCGUCUGGAACAGUUCCUG
rnacentral:rRNA from 1 species